rnacentral:lncRNA from 1 species
CCUGGUGACCCAGGCAAGCGGUCCACCUUGGAGAAAGGUGUACCUGAGGGAACCAGCUCUUCUGGAGGUGAUGUGUAAUACUGAAAAAAGAGGGGAGACACAGAUUGGAUGUUGGGAGGCAGUUCUUGAAUCUGAGGGUGGUGACGCACUGGAGCAGGUUGCCCAGGAAAGCUGUGGGGCCGCCGCCAUCUUGCUUGGGAGCCUGGGAGCCACUCUGCCCUGGAGGGGGUGCCCAUGAUGUCACAGUGGGUGGCAGGGAGUGGCCACUGUGACGUGUGGGGCUGGGAGCAGAGCAAAGGCUGCUAGGCUCAGAGCGUGCGUCAGUGCGGCCUGGUGAGGUGCAGAGAGAGCAGGGACUCUCCGAGUGCUCACUGUUAAUGCGCACCAUGUCCAAUAGGAAGCGGAAGGCCCCCAGCUCGGGGGAGCGAGGUGAGAGCACAGGAUCCCUGCACACAGCUCCCCGCUGCUGGGCAGAGGGGUGCUGGGGGCCUGCCAGGGGCUGAGAGGGAAGGAAGGGGCAGGCAGGAGCUCCCCAGCUGCUGCUGGGCAUGACCCCUCUGCUCCUUGGCAAGGGGCCCAGCCUGGGCUGUGGCUGCCCGCUGCCACUGCUGGGCCCGCAAUGCCCGCUUCUCCUCCACCUCCUCCAGCCCUGCCCCUCAGCCAGUACGGCACACAAAGAGCACGGCCCUGGGGACAGCCCUCAGGGACACCUGGCCCCACAAGGUGCUCACUGCUGCUCACAUUUGCUCUCUCCUCUACAGUUUGCGCGCUGUGUCGCCGGGCGGAUGUCGACCCCAACAUCUGCGGGCGCACCUUUGCCCAGAGUGGCAUUUGUGUGCACGAGUUCUGCUUGCUUUUUGCCAACAUAUCCUUUGAAGAAGGAGCCCCCUGGGAGGAAACUGUGCGCCUCCCCAUUGGUACCAUCAGAUGCAGAAUCAAGCAGGCAGACCAGACGGUGAGGCCCUGAAUGGAGCAGCGAGCUUUGUGCCAGGAGAGGCUCACGUCAGUGUAGUCUGCACCCAAAGAAAGCAAUUACAACCCUUCCAGCUGGCUCCAGGACAAAGUCCUGCCAUAGCAAGGGAGCCUUCUCCACCUGGCGGCUCUGCAGAACGUGACCCAGCAGUGCCCGCAGCCUGUGCC